GGUAUUAGCUCAGUUGGAUAGAGCAACGGCCUUCUAAGCCGUGGGUCGGGGGUUCGAAUCCCUUCAG
rnacentral:tRNA from 1 species